AAAAUUAAAUGACUAUAGAAGUCGGUGAUGUCAAAUUUGACUUGAAGAGGCUCAAUAUCAAAUUUGACUUGAAGAGACCCAAUGUCAAAUGAAGAGGCUCAAUGUCAAAUUUGACACAUUGGUUGGAGUGGGUUUUGGAGUCUUUUCUUCUGUUAGUGUGUGCCACAUGGAUUUGCCUAAUCGGAUAGAGUUGCUCUAAAAAGGUUUGAAUAUGGUAACUACGGAGCCGUUUGUUAGACGGGACAUGAUGGGAUUACUCAUUCUUAUUCCUGGUGAUGCCCUGAUAACAACAAGUACCAUUUCUGAGUAAAUAUUUUGGUACCUAUAUAACAUGUACCAUGUAUGAGUAAAUAAGUCACAUAAGCAUCACUCCUAUAAAAUAGUUUUUCAAAAAGUUCCGGCAAGAGAGAUGUGUCACUAACUGUUGCAUCAGGACUUGAAAGAGUAGAAAUUUUAGAGGAAUAAACGCCCAUUUAAAAAACAAAGAAACAAGUGCAGAUGCAUCUCAAAUAACAUUUAAGAAACAUAUAUGAUGCUUGGUAGGAAGCGUAGUACUUGUAAGAAUAGAAGUGUAACUUGACUAAAAAAAAAAAAAAACGUAGUACUUGUAAAAGAUCUGAUCAGGUUUUCUCUUAGGACAACAUUAGUUGUCAUUUAUCCUAAAAUAAGUGAAUCCCACAUUUCCAAUAGUCCCCAACUUUUAACUUGAUUGCUUGCCUGUUUCACACUCUCGACUGGUCUCCAGAACCUAAACACCAAUAUUUGCUACAGUUAUUGUUUGUGAGGUCUGAUAAAACAGUUUGGCCUAUAUCAAUAAUGGGUGAUGUGAAGGUAGAUCCAUUUAUACAGGCUCUACUCCUACUAUGCAAGGGAGAUUGAAUUUCAUUAUCGGUAGGAAAAAGAGACAUUUCUUUCACAUGCACUGGUAUACAUAUCAAUGGGUUUUCCAUUAUUUCCAGGACUUGGAACUACAUACUUAUUUAUGGUAUCUAAUAGUCAUGCAUCAGUAACAUGUAUGUCAUAUUUGCUAUAUACUUCUCCUUGGUUCUCAAUGUCCACAGUACUUUGUAGUUCGGAAUUCAAUAUUUCUGCAUGAAAUUGUUUCUUUGAAGAUUCAGCAUAUCUGCAAUAAAACAUCUGAACAUUUAAAUGGAUGCCAAGCAAAUGGAUCAAAGAAAAAGAAAGUAAUCUAUUGUUUUGUUCUCAUAUUAAUCGUGAGUAUGCGUUUAUAUGUUGUAUCAAUUCAAUGUUAGCAUAAUAGACCAGGAUAUAGCUAGAAAAAUUGUUCUUCUAAUAUCAAACUGUCUAACUGAGCAUAACUUGGACAUACCACCAAAGCGUCAUCUUUUAAAUAUUGGAUACCUAAUUAUUCAAUUCAUCAUACGCUCGUACUUACUCCGAUACAAAUCAAGUAACACACCAAAACAAUACUUUUUUAUCUUCCCUAAUUUCAAGUAUUUCUGCCAGCAUGAAGCCAGGACACAUGGGUGUCUUAAAGUCCCGUUUUUUAGCGGGUAACCGACCCACUUAACCGCGUAACCGCCACAACCAUAAAUCCUUAAAAAUCCGUUAAUAAUUCUAAACCCUCAUUUCUGCCUGUAAUAAAAACCCAUCAAAACAAAAGCGCCAAUUACGCGGCUUGAAGUCUCAGCCUUUUCUCCACUACAAAGCUAAACCCCCUCACUCUCUCUUACCCACACAAACCUCCAAAACCCAAAUGGCCGACGACGAAGCCGCAGGAGGAGAGGAGUACCUCUUCAAGGUGGUCCUCAUCGGCGACUCCGCCGUCGGCAAGUCCAACCUCCUCUCCCGCUUCGCCAGGAACGAGUUCGAUCAGAACUCCAAGGCUACAAUCGGGGUCGAGUUUCAGACCCAGGCUGUGGAAAUCGACGGCAAAGAGGUCAAGGCCCAGAUCUGGGACACGGCGGGCCAAGAGCGCUUCAGGGCUGUGACCUCUGCUUAUUACAGAGGCGCGGUUGGGGCGCUUGUGGUGUAUGAUAUCAGUAGGAAGACUACUUUUGAGAGUGUGGAGCGCUGGCUCAAUGAGCUUACUAGUGAGUGUUCUGGCUACCCAUUUUGUUGUUCUUGCUUCUUUUUUAGUAAAGUUUAGUGAUUUUUGAGUUUUGUGUGUGAAUAUAGCAAAGGGUAUAUAUCUUUGUUUGGGUUGUUUUUUUUAUUUACUUGUUUGUGUAAUUGAGAAGGUUGUGAUUAGUUAACUGGGAAAAAUGAUAUGGGAUUCCUGAAAAGGAUGUAUUGCGAAUGAAGUGAGUGUUUUUCGUGUUGGGGGUGAAGAUCAGGGGUGGUUAAGUUGGAUAUAAACUGCAACAAUCGUGUUGCAGGAACGCCGAGUUAGAAAUGCUACUUCUUUUGUGGGUGAUGUUUGUUGCCAAUGUUGAUAAGGGAGGUAGGAUACAUGUGGUCUUAUUUUUAGGGAGAGUGAAAGUAGGGAGGGAUUGUUUUGGUGUUAAGGAUUUAAGAAGUUAGGUGGAGACUUUAAGGUCUUAGCUAUUGGUUUUAUGAGUGUUAGAUUACGUACCGUAAAGGUUGUUUAACCGUGUUGAAAGACUAUGCCUACACCAAAUAUAGUUAGCUUCCAUAACUAGUGGGACAAAGUUCUUGAAUAGUUUCCUUGUCCUCUCACUCAAGUUUUUCGCAUGGUCCAAUAUCCUUCAAAUUGUACAAUGUACAAUGUAAGGAAUUGAUUGGAUGCUAUACUGUACUGUUCCACAUGUCAAGAGUUUUACAGAACAAUGUGAUAUGUGGAUAUGAGAUGUAAAUUUCAAAUAGAAUUUAGUUUGAUAUUUGAAACUAAGAUAUUUGCGAGGGAUUAACUGAUCAGUUCACGGCUGUCUACUUCAAAUCCUAAUUUUUCCACCAUUCGAUAUCAUAUUCAUUAUUGCGAACAUGCUCAUGGUUUGAGAUAUAUAAUCACCAGGGAAAGUAUGCACACUUUUGUUUUUAAUUGUAUUAUAUUUUAGGCACCCUUUUGCCUCUCCUCAAAAAAAGAAAAAAAAGGCUCCCUUCUGCCAACUUAGUUUUAGAGUGAUACAGUAUCUGUUUAGUAGAUUAUAAUCCUAGCUGACCUUACAGAGUAGCUCAUUUUUCUUAUGUUUAUCCAUAUCUUAUAGUUAUAAGCUAUAGAGGUGAUAAGGUUGGGUUUCUAUUGAUAUGUCGAAUAUCUUUAGACCAGACAGGUAAUCCUUAAUUGAUUGAUUAUGCAGUGCAUUGCGAUACUGCGGUGGCAAAGAUGUUGGUAGGCAAUAAGUGUGACUUGGAGGAUAUUAGAGCUGUGACUAUUGAAGACGGCAAAAGCCUUGCUGAAGAAAAGGGAUUAUUCUUCAUGGAGACGUCUGCACUUGAUGCUACUAAUGUUCAGGAGGCCUUUGAGGUGGUAAUCCGGGAGAUUUACAACAAUGUCAGCAGGAAAGUCCUGAAUUCUGAUUCUUACAAGGCUGAGCUGUCUGUUAAUCGAGUAAGCCUGGUGAACAAGGCAGAUUCAACGAAAAGUCGAUGUUGUGGCGGAUGAUCUCUAUUCCUUCAGUUGUACUUGUCUUUAGAAUGUUCUCUUUUCCCCCAUCCCCAAAGGAGAAAAGGAAAUGGUAUUACUUGAUUGUUUUACAGGUGAUUACUUGGGUUAUUGAUGACUGAUGGUCAUUAGUCUGUCAUCGGGGAUUAGCUAUUAAUAAGACUAUUUUCAUAUGUUCGUAGUUUGAAGUUCCUUGUGUUUUGUUUCUAUAUCCUUCAGUAAGCUGGUAUUGUGUUCCUCAUGCAUCAUAGAUGUUUUCAAUUCCUAUGGAACACAAACCCACAAUAGGAUCAGUGGGAUUUAUGCCACAAGUCACUGAAUUCCUUCAUUGGCAGAUUUAUUUAAUUACAAACGUCCAAAUGAAGCCUCACGUUCAGAAAUUUUGGGAUGAAAGUGGUUAUAGACUUAUAGUUGUGGAUUGGAUUAAAUUCAGUUUACUACCAAUCCAAAUGUUAAGAACAAUGCUACAAACUGGGGGUGAACCUGACCAGCAAUGUAAUUUAUUUUUUCAUACAAAGUGAUGGAACUGUACAAAAGGUUACCUGAAAGGCUGAAAUAAAUACAUAUUUCCUCAACAGAUUUAUAAAGAAUUGCUAUACAUUCUGAACCAGAAAGCACUAAUAACUUUCUCCCAUCUACAAAAAUUAGUUUUCUAGCCUCUAAUGGAGCAAAAUGAACAAAUGGCCUAUAAUCCCCUAGCAGUAACUUGAAACAAGGGAGAUCUUCCCUAUAAAUAAUUCCUCAAGCAGAGAUAUCUUUUACUAUUUCUUUCUCCGCAGGGCAGUUUCUAAGGCUUCCUCAAGGCAGAUGCUGCUCCCAUGACAACAGCUAAAACAAUGCCAAGACCAGCUCCAACGGAAGCUCCUACAGUUGCAGCUGAAACUGAAUUUUCCUUGGCUUUAGAAUCACUUGCAUUCAUAGCCAAUGCACGAUCUCGUGACAAUUCAACCAAAAGCCUAUCUCUUGCAUGUUCCUUCAACAAGAAAAAGAAUUGAGCAAUGAGUAGACUCAUAAUCUGACCACCCAACCUUUUAAAAUGAAUUAAUUAUCUUUAGGAUAUGUUUCCCAGAAAAGAUGCAAUUCUGGGAGGGAAGCAACAUAAGAUUGGAUAUAUGUGGCUUACCUGUAAGGAUUCUUCCUCACGGCUACGAAGAAUGUGAUGAACUAUUUGACGAAGAGUAUUGACACCCUCAACUGGGAGUAUGAUUUCUUUCUUCUGAAAAGGCCUCCUGACAAAAUCGAUGGGAGCAAAGAGAAGCUUUUGUGCGCCUGACCUCCCAUCAGCAUCUCCAACGCUGGCACCCCAUAAGAAAGUAGUACUUGCAGCACUGGGCAUAACAUAUGGACAGGAAUUGAUAACUCCAGUGCUACUUGGAGAUGCUUGAUAAGACUGGACAACAGCAUCAAUUGAUGUUUUCUGUUGAUGAGCACUGACAGAAAAUUUGUUUGUUAUAGCAAGAACCCAGGGUAUUCCAACAGAUUUAGCCUCAUCCAGUAGAAGUGAAAGGGCCGGCUUUUGCUGUGAUCCACUCAAGUCAUUACAGCGAGGUAUUCUAUGAGACAGGUUAUGAACAAGUACAAUCAAGUCCGUCUUUCGACUAAGAUCACGAAUUCCUGUCCAGAGUUCAUCCCUGAGACGAGUGGCCUCCAAAUUCAGCUCCUAUAAUACGAAAUCCAGAAAUAUGACGGUAGCUCGUGGGAAAGGAAGAUAAGAUAAACAAUAUAGAUAUGAAAUAAAAAUGAAAUAAGCAUUCCUUGACAAGGAAGAAAUACCUGCAAAUUUAUCCCUGCUGAAUCGCAGAACCACAAGCCACCAGAAAUACCUUCUUGGACAUCAGCUUCUGGAAGCAGAUUUUCAAUAUGGGAAAUAUUGGUUAUCCUGCCUUGAGAUAAUAUGGCCUUGAAAAGAGAUGUCUUACCGGCACCCUACAGUCACAUCACGCGAGUCACUAUACUGAAAAUAAAAUAAAUUGAUAAUUUCUUUUCCCGGAAUUUAGAACAUCAAUACCUCAAGGCCAAGUAACCGCACCCUACGAGUUCUCACAUGAACCUCUUUAGAAACCGUGGUAAAAUCACUGGUACAAAAUAUGAAAAAGUCGCUUAGACCUUCAGGACAAAUAGACUUUUCUGGUCCUGAUAUGUGCUCCCUAUUAAGAGGAGUUGAGUUGGGAUCAAUAGAAGGAAACACAUGCAACAAUGAAUCUGCUACCAUUUGAUGCUUAGGUGGCUGUCUUAAUGGAGCUCCAAUUAAAACUCGCAUUUUUUGUAGUCCCGGUUUCUCUCCAUAAUCUGAAGAGUAAGUUGGGGUUGAAGGAAAGGAUUCUACUGUAGUUGAACACCUAAAUGAAGAUAUAAUAUCAGAUGAGUAUAAUAUAGCAUGCAUAGAGACAUACAAGGAGGUUGUGAUAAAGUUGCAAAGAGCAGUACCAGUUACCAUUCACUUGGGCGUGAACAAGCGUACACAGAUGCAAUCCAAAACCAGUGAUAUCAACUUUUAAUGGAUCUCCAUUUUUCCCACCAGGUAUGCCAUUCCAUCCAAGAGGAGCAACUGAUGUAGCUGUACGAAUAACUGGAGACUCAACAAUAUGCCCAAGCUCCACAUUUCCUGCAACUGAAAGACCAAGCCAUUGCUGUAGAUGCGGAAACUGUUGUUGCUCUAUUCCCGAAAAAGGUGAGGUAUCAUCUCUCAUGCACAGGUCAUAGAUUCUGCAGCAGGGGCAGCAUUACGUUGAGAAAAAUAUUAACAAAUUAAACUUGAUGAUAAUGAUGUCAAAAUAUCAUACAUUGGAUUUCAUUGUCAAAGCAUCAUUUGCAGAAAUUUCAAGUUGGAGGACAACCUUCUUAAACACCUGGGCACUUGCCGACUGUUAAAAAAAUCGGACAUUAAAUGGUAUAUGUUACAGCUUAUCUAAGGAGAAGGUCUAAGAAGGUUAUCUAUGCCUCUAUGGCAGACAAGCAAAAAACUUUGUCUAGUGAGUAGUGACUUCUUAGAAGUAAAGCAACUGUAUUGCAACUGUAUUUAUAAUAGCAGUGAAUUCCAAGGUACGGGAGUGCAGAUCUGAAACCAGAUACGCUGCUCCACAUACUACAUUACAACUUGGAAUUCAGAUAUAGAGAUUAAUGGUUAUUUAUGUAAAGUGCUUGGUCAGUGACCAAGGUCCCAAUGUGAUUUGACAGAAAUUCAAAUAUUAUCAGAAUCAAGAAGAAAACAACACACAAACUUGAAAUGCAGACAUAAUCUAGAAGAAGUUGUUCGACAGCCCAGCAACAAAAAUAUUACCAAUUCAGUAAUUUACAAAGAAACAAAAAAAAGACACAAGUAGAAAUCUGAUUAACUUAAAGGAACUUUUAGAUGUUAAAGUAUUUGUUACCUUUGGAACCGAGACCUAUACGACCUCAUUGAAUGUGACUGAAAUCUUUCCCUCAGUUCCGCAAUCACAGAUUUGACCUGAAAAUGUCUUUGCCAGAAGGAAGCUAAUAAAAUGAGAAGUUCCAGACACUACUAAAAGUCUAAAACUGACAACAACUAUGAACAGAACUGUCAAAAUGGAAAACUCAAUGCAGGAUAAAAUAUUGUAAUCUCCCAAAAAAAAAAAUACACAUGAUUGUCAAGCAAAGGAAUCUCAUACCGAUGUCAACUUCGAGUACUCUGCAUCUGAUAGUGACUUCACUGAUGAAUUUUCCAAGAGAUAAAGCUGGCAGAAAAUAAACAAUUCUGAUGAGCUGACAUUCAAAAGAAAUCACUAAAAUGAUAAGGAUAACUUCACGAUGAAGAUCACAAUUUCAGAGUUAAUUGGCAAAACAAAACAUAAUGACGCCUUCAUGCUGAAUAGAGUAAAUUAACUACCACCUUGAAGUUGUGUUUCUACCAACCAUGAAAUCAAAAGAUUUCACUGGCCGUAAAGACUAGAUGGCAGCCCUGGCAUCUACAUUCUUUUUUUUCUUUUUUUUUCUUCUAAUUUUCUCUCUCUCUUGCUUUAAUUUUUUUUUUUUUUUCUUUGGUGGGGUUGGUGUGUGGGAUUUCAGCAAGCACAAACUCAAGUUCAUGAAACACCUAUCGCCUGUUUCCUUUUCUAUUCCAGCAUACGAGUUAGCUUAGAAUAGACCACUGAUGGCAGAACCAAGAAUAAGAAGCUAGUGAUAACUCUUAAUUAAGUACUUUCACAUCAUUGUUUUCAAUCUUUCAUGCAAACACCUAAGUUCUGAAAACUAUUAAAAAACAGAUAUCACAAUGUAUCAUAUACCUCUCCGAAUGGUACGUAUGAAGGUAAAGAAGGCACUCUACGCCAUCUCUUUACAUCCCCACUUCCAGUGGUGCUUUUACUAGCUAAAUUUCCAUUUGACUCCACAUCUGCUACUUCUUUAGCAAUGUCAGCGAUGGGCUUAAGAGAUAUACCAUCAGAACCCUCUUGGAUUUCAAGAGACUCUGGUUCAACUAUGUCAUCGUCUACUAUACUUGUUGCAACAGAAUCCAACUGAGAAGAUGUUUCGACAUAUUCAACUUUCCUUCCUUUGUAUUUGUUAAACUGUCUUCUUACACCCUCUAAAGGAACAAGCCUUGAAAGUCUCCAGAUAGAACUCUGUACAGGUCCCACACCCAGAACCAACUGCUCCCCCUCAUUUACUUUACGUUUUCCUACUGUUUCUUCACUUUUUACCAUGGAUUUCUUAGUAGUUUCAUUUCCAGCAGGCAUUGAAAGAGGUUGUGCAUUAUAAUGGUGAAAGUAAGCAGGAGACAAGAUGCGGGGAACCAGAUCUUCUGGAAUGCAGUAACUUUUGAAGUAAUGCUCCCACCCCUCUCUAUUAACAUAACUGUAAAAGCAAUGAAUAAAAACAUAGAUAUGUUAAGUCAUAAUAAGAGGAUUCAAAGGAAAAGAAUAAGCUUCAAUAAUUAGACCUGAAACCUACUCUCUUAAAGCUGCAUUUCCAACAGGGGGCUGGGAAAAUGUAAUACAUUUGACUCGAACAGUUUCAUUAUCCUUAGAUGAAGAAGAAGCAGCAACAACCCUCAAAAUAGCAAGGGUAGCUAAUACUGCUACCUAGAUAAGCAAAAGCACAUGGAUGGUAAGAAAUUGAAAUAACAACAAUAAACACAAUCACUAAUGCUUAAGCAGGUAAACUAGUCACACUUACUGCUCCACCAAGUGAGUGUCCACAUAAUACAAGGUUUCGUUUCUUCUUUUGAGCAAGUCUGUACAACUCCAGAGCAGGUAUACCUUUAGCACGAGCCAAGAACCCCUAAAGAGAACAAUUUGAAGAAUUUUAGGUUAAGAAAUGAAAAUGCAAAACAGAAGUGAAAAUGCAAGCAUAGGUGGAAAGUGAUCCAAGCUCAAACAAAUAGACUGUACUAUACCCGAUGAGCAGCGGGUUUAGCUUUAUUAUUCACUUGCUUUGUCUUUGAUUCAAGAGGAUUAAACGAAUUCUCUCCAUUUCCUUUACGUCCUCCAGGUGGAUUAGUUUUAUUUGUCUCAGUCCCAUCCGCAUCCUCCACAGGAUCCUCAUGAAAUAUAGCGCCUUGCAGUAUGUUCGCAUCAGUCAUCAUAUCCCUUCACCGUAUCCAAAAACAAACCAUUAAUGAACUCUCAUAACUACCACAGUGAAUGAAUUCUCACAAACCAAAUGCCACUCACUUGUACUGCUUAGUUCCGAUGAAGGAAGCAAACAAUGUAUCACCUGCUUCCGCCAACAAGUAACUGCAAACAUCAAAAUACAGAAUCAACCAACUACACAAUAGACUAUUAAUAUCGAACUUCGUUACGAUUAAACAGAAUCACCAAAAUAUACCUGUGAGGAACAUGAUCAGAAGAAGGCUGCACACGCUCCAACGCAACAAUAUGUCCUCCGAAAUCAGCCUUGAAUUUAUUCACAGCGCGAACCAAGUCCGAAGCAGGUCUCUAUGAAAUGACUCACAUUCAAUAACAAUCACGGAUUAUUCGAAAUCAAUGACAAAGGGGAUAGGUUAAGCUUUUCACCUUAUAGACGCACUCGGACAGGACCAUGCAGCAGAGGAUGUCCUGCAAGUCGGAGACGGAGUCGGCCUUGACGGCGGCGCAGAGAUCGUGGAGCUGCUUGCGGCGACGCUCGUACUCCUCGUGGAUCCUCUUGCGCUGCUGGCGGUCGCCGUCGUUAAGAAGCCAAGGCCACUUCAUCAUCCGCCACUGUCCGAGGGGGCCCCACGAGACCUUCCAGAGCUUGGCACGCUGCUCCCUCAGCCAUGACUCCACUCGGCUUUGUACCGAUUCCAUUUCUCUUUGGUUUUCCCAAAAUCAGGACUAAGAUCACGAAGAGGCGCGGCGAUGGAGACUCGGCAUUUUGUCUGCGGUUUUGUUUUAUUACCAAAACAAGAAAAAGGAAGUUUGAUAUUUGAUUGGAAUGGGGAGUGUUAAGGGAAUCGGGUUCGGUCUGUCAAGGCAUAUGCCGGGAAUCGGAUUAGACGGUUUUUGUUUGCGUAAACAAACAACUAAACAACUAAAUCGGAUUAGACGGGUUUCGUUUCCAAGUUCCUAAUUGCGAUGGAAGAAAAAUAGUUACAGACAAAAACCCUUGCAACAACUAAACAACUAAAAUAAAGUUGUGAUACGUUAUCGUCUUGCUCUUUUCUUUUAUAAUAUAAAUUCGGAUUGGUUAAGAGGUUUUUCUUUAUAAUCUUUAUACUUAUUGAGAAAACUAUAAUCAAAGUUAUCAAAAUUGUAAAGAACAGACAACAGGCAAAGCACGAUUCCAACUUUGAAGAAUAGUGGAAUGGCCUAAAUCGUUAAUUGCAUCGGUAAAAAAGUUAACUUUUUUCCAUGCAUGUUGGCAUGUAAUAGAAUGGAAAGCACGAACAAGCCGACAAAUAUAAUUUUUACUUUUUAAUGAAAAAAAAUGUUAUUAAAAGGAAGUCUUUUACAUAUUUUGAUCCUCAUUGAUCCAAAGUGAAAGUAAGAGUAUCUCCUCAAAAAAAAAACAAAAGUGAAUGCUCAAGUCAUUAAUAACGUCGAAAAUUACAAAUUGAGCAACAGUUUCUCAUGUUGUUCAGAUUAUUUAUAGCAGGCUCAAUGGACAACGGGGAAUGAAUGGAUGUUGUGUGGUUAGGAGUUUAAUGGUUUCUCUAGAAUUACCAUAAUGAAGUAAAUUUAUUCAUUUUCUUUAGAAUUUAGGGAAAAUUUUAAGAACAGUAUAUGACAAAUGAUUCACUCAUAAUUUUGGUGUUUCAAAUUUCAAAACAAUCAUAACGGUACAUGAACUUGUAAUUUCAAUCGAAAAUAUGUACAUACCGUUACAUUCUCUAUUAUCUAACGUGUUUUUCAUUAAAUUAUGAGGGGCAAAUCCGCCACUAUUUAAUUUAACAGUAAUAAAUUAUUAAAAUUAAUAAUUAAUAAGGAUAGAGAAAUAAGAAAGGAAAAAAAUAGUGUUGUCUCUCUUUUUCGUCCCUGUUCAAACCUAACAUACACAAAAAUGGUGAUCGAGGUAGGACUGUAGGAGGAAGUUGGAAGAUGAUUUGAUAUGGUAAGUUAUGGAAGAAAAGGUUUGAAUAUAUAUCAGUGGGUAUUGAGUAAUGAAACUUAGAGCGAGAAAACUAAUGUCCUAGUUUUACUUGGAUUAGGACGAGCAUCAAAGUCUUUUUCUUUUCUUUUCUUUUUUUGAUGAAUAAGAGUCUUUCAUUAAAACCAAACCCAGUAACUUACAAAUACAACAAAUAGUAGACCUGUAAAUAGACCAGGUCUUGAUCCAGACCUGUUCCCGAUCCGUGGUUUUUAAACGGGUUUAGAUCGAAAAUUUGACCCGUUGAUCCGUUAACCCGUUUAUUAAACGGAUCGGAUACGGAUCAAGAUUGAUCCACCGUUAAAGACCCGGAUCCAUUUUAAAAUAAUUAAAUAAUAUAUUUAUAAAUAUAAUAUUAUUGAUAAUUAUUAAAUAAUUUAAUAAUUAUUUGGAUAACCUAAACGUCUAAAUUGUGUCUAAAGUAUGAUUUGAUGAAGUUGAAGGUUAUUAAUGCCUAUAUUCCUUUUAUGCUCUUUGUUAAAAACAUUAGAGAUCUAGUAUUUUGAUUAUAUUAGUUUAUUGUUAAGAACUAUUUUGACCAUAUAAUUCAACAUUUGAUGUAAACCUUUAUUUUGUUAUAAUAUUUCAUUAGUGCUUUAUGAAGAUUUAUGAUAAAAUUAAGAAAUUAUUAUUUAAAAUUUGAAAAUAUUUAUUAUUAUAAACGGAUCUGAAUAACGGGUCGGGUAUCCGUUAACCCGCCGGAUCCGGAUUUGGAUCGAGCUAUCAAUGAUCCGGCGGGUAACAGGUCGGAUCUAAAAUUUUUAUUACGAAUCUGAAUCUAGAUCUAGGUCGAUCCUCUCCAGAUCCGGUCCAUUUACAGUUUUAACGAAUAGUAAACAAAGAAACCAGGUAAGGGGAAAACAACAAAGUCUUUGAGAAUAGAUGGUUUGAGUUUACAAGAUUAAAAAAGUAUAUAAAUAGAAAAAAAAAACAAUUAUAUAAAGAAAGAGAGAAUGUAGACAACCCGAAACCACUCUUUGAAAAAUGAGAAAUUACAUAGAGUUAACGGUGUUAUUGACGGCAUGUGCUAAAAGUGUGUCGGCUUUUAAACGUCAUGUACCAUUUUGAUUGUUUUGAAACUUGAAACACCAAAAUUGAGAGUGGACCGUUUGUCAUCUAUUGUUCUUAAAAUUUUCCCUAGAAUUUAUCGAAUGCUAGAGUGAUCGUCUAAUCGAUGUAGAAAAGUACAGUUUUAAGCUAACGUUAGGUGAUAAUAAUGAUAUCCUUGAAAAUAUCGUAAGAAACUCCUUAUUCAAGGGCUAAAUGCUCUCACACAAAGUCAUGUUUUGCUGGGAUUUGUAUUUGACAGUUUCUAUUCAUACCUCCAAAAGUGCUACUUAGACCUCAUAACAUUUUUGUAACUUUAGAAAUCCAGUUUUACCCUUGAUUUAUGGAAUUAUAAAUAUAAAAAAAAAAUCUUGCCUUAUUUGUAACGAUUCUUUCUUGUCUAGGGUUAUUUCAUCUGUCGGUGUUAACAUGUUGGGUAAAGAUUUUUUGUUAACUAGAUUUCUAAAGUUACAAAAAUGUUAGGAGGUCCAAGUAGCAGUUUUGGAUGUAUGAAUAGAAGCUCAUUUUGUAUUACAUUCAAGUUACACAAUAUUACAUUCAAGUUUUGUUAGGCUAAAUGUUUUUUAAAUAAGGACCUCAUUACCUUAGAUAAGGUACAUAUUUCCUUAAUUUAACCCAUUUUUCGAUUAUAUUUUCUCAUCAUAGUCGUUUAAUAUUUAAAUAUACGUGACUUGAUCAUCUCUGUAAAUUUUCAGCUAAUUUGGUUAUCGUUAAGGUAUCAAAAAUAUAUUAAAUCAAUGAACGAACCGAAUUUGUUCAUCCUGAACCGUACGUGUAUUUAACUCUAAAUCAUAAUUUUGAAUGUCUUAACGAUUAUCAAUUUGGUUAAAAAUUUGUAGAGAUGAUCUACACAUAUAUACCUAGAUACUGAACGGUUAAGAUGAUAAAAUGUGAUCGAAAAGUGAGUCUAAUAAGGAAAUCUGCACCAUAAAAAUAAAUAAGGGUAUCCUUAUUUGAAAAUGAUUCUUAAAGUAUAUAUGCAUUUACCUCAUGUUCCUCCUCAAUAACAGACUUUAAAAGUGCUUGCGACUACAAGAAGAUCAAGAAGGAAAGGCACUAGCUUAAUGGUAAUUAGAGACAUCUCAAAAGUAUGGUUUCCAAAGUUUUUGAUAAAAUAUGGUUUCCAAAGUUAGUGGAGGUUGCAAACGAGAGUUUGGACCAAAAUUUACCAAAAUUCUUGUAUAAAAAUUAAAAAGUUUGGAAUCAUCUUCUUUGGGCCAAUUUGUUGAAACAUGAUAAAAUUAAUAUCUUGGGCCUUAAACACCCUCACAUUUGGGCCUUGAAAGAUUAUUAUCUUAACCAGAAGAUGGCUGCACUAUUCAACAGGAUAUGAGCAAUCAUCAGGUCAUACCGUCAUAGAGCAAGCUAGUGAUCAUUAGGUUGUGCUGAUCACACGAGCCAAAAGAAUUCCAACUUCAAUCUCAAGUGUGAUCAAAACAAAGAUUAACAUUUACCUGAAACCAGCCGGAAAAUACAUGAGGAGAUCGAUUCGACCGAUAGUUCUCUCACUUAUGUUAUUCGCCAUAUAAUAAAUUGAAGUUUCAGAGGAUCGAUGGAGUAGAAUUCCAACAACAACUACUACCAGAGAGAUGAAUUCUCACAGAUCAUCAUCAUGUACAUCAGUAAGCAUUAACGAAAGCCAGGCUGCAGGACCACAAUGCACAAUGUAUUGCAUGCGGGGUCUGCUAGAGGCUAGGGUAACAAUCAUCAUGCAUCUCCAUACUCCAUAGUCGAUCGGUGGUCCAUUUACUUGCACCGCACCCAGUACUACUGGGUCGACAUAAGUAUUCCAGCUCCUGUAUAUUUGCUUCUAUAUCAAGCACUCUCUUAUAUACGUACAAUAUGUUUGUCCAAGUUUGAAUAUUCUGCAUACAGAAAAUUUUCGAGUGUACAGCUAGCUAGCUACUUAAUGACAUCACAGUGAGUUCUGAGAUCUCCAACGAGGAUCCAUGGAGGUUUCGAUCAUCAUUGCAUCACCAUGACAUGGCCCCCUCUGAUCUAAACAAACUUGUGUUGACCACCUACGUAAUUGAAAGUCGUCGUUCUGUCAGUCCAAAACUCCAAAUUAUAUAAUAGAUUUGGUAGGUAGCUAGUAUCUCAUUUUCCUUCUUAAUCUGGAAAAUUUUGGAAAGGAUCUCUUGAAAGCGAGAGACAGUUCAGUUAAACAAUUUUGUUUUUGUUUUUGAUAGUACAUUUUGUUUUUGUUUUUUUUGUUUCCGACCUCAAAAAUCUCAAUAACCCGCUGUUUGUUACUCAUCAAUCUUCUCAAAUCUGAAUUAUGAGUUUAUGACUCAACUGUUACUCAGAUGCAGUAAUUCAAAUCUUCAAAUUAAGUGGUAGUUUAGUUUCAGAAUGAUUGAUUGUACAAAUUUUAAGGUGGGUGGGUCACUGAUCAUCAUCAAACAAAGAUGGCUUUAUAAGAUGCAUGAUUGAUCUGAGCAAAGCAUGCAGUUUAUUUGUCUAGUCUAGCUCAGCCAGUAGUCACAGAGUGACCGACUGUGCCGCACCAUACUUCAAUUCAUUAGAGAAUAUCCCACCCAUUUCACCUUCACCUUGUUUAUUAUAGCUAGGUAAUUAACUCACUUAUAGAAAAGCACAAUAGCUCAAUGCACCUCUUUUACUCCAUUCUCAAUUUAGUACUGCUGCAUUUGUUUCUUGUAACUCUUCAGUCACUUUUGUCAAUUUCACUGACCUUUAUGUCAAAAUUAACAGCAAAAGUGUGUUUUAUAUCACUUGAUUAUCUUUAACCUACAAACAAGAACAAAAGAAGAAGACAAGGGUAGUUGAUUUGACUUCAUCUGCAAUUCUUAAAGUUUAGAAGAAGCUGGAAUCUGUAACAGUGAAUUGAUAUUAAAAAAAUUAAAUAAAACUCCUUUUCACAGUGACCCAAGAACCUUUCACUAAACAGGCUUUAUAAACUCUUUAAGCUCUUUAAUUUAAUUUUCUCAUAAUCAUGUCUUGCUGGUGAGAGCACAAGUGUCGACCCCUGCAAAAUAAAGGGGGCAUCUGCUUCCAAGUAACAAGGGAGGAACUAAAAGCCAUGGAUCACAUGGAGAUCAAUCAAUCACACAGAACCAAAGCCAUGGCAUUACACAAAACAAAAGCUCUCAGGAAUAAUCAAAAUGAUGAAAGCAGCGCCCAGCUAGCAGUGGGGACUUGAUAAAGAAAGGUCAAGAUGAUGCAUUGAUGCUCAAAGGCAAUAGCUUUUGUUGUCGUUGUAGGCACAAAUCAAAUCUACCUAAUCACCAAAGGACACACAUCUACAUAUGUCCCAAUACUCUCGAGAAAUCCUAGCAAGAAAUUGACUAAUUUGAAUCAGGUGUUACUGUUGCAGUGCCCAUCACGGAUCAGAUUCCAAAUAGAAUUAUGAAGCACUAGAUUCGUCACCAAAUCAUAAUGAGCUGUCUUAUUGUCAAAGUCUCUAUCAUGAAAGAAAGCAUGCAUCUAAAAUGAGCUGCUCAUUCUCCUGAGUCCUAACUAAUUAAGUAACGAUUAGAGUAAUAUUUUGUUAUUAUAUACAAUUAUGUGUUUAUCUUUUUAUUACAUGUAGUAAUACAUGGUUGCCGUUGUAUAGAAUUGUGUGUUUAUCUUUUCAUUACAUGUAGUAAUACAAGAUGAGAAGGUUGGCCAGUAGACUUAGAUAGGACUUACUGAUAGUGAAUCGAAUGAACAGAAAUCAACCAGAACGGUCCAGAAAUCAACUGUUACAUGUCGUUUUUGGAAUUUAACCCAAACAACCCCAAUAAGUUUGCUACCAGAAGUAAUAUCGUUGAUUAUAGGCAACAGAGUAGGUUGGUUUCUAUCUCAGGGGAGAGCUAGAAGGUCGGGAAAAAAAAAUAGAGUUCUAACUGAAAAUUGAAUUAAUUUAAGUAUCAUCACACUGGUAUAUACUAAAGAGAACCCUAAACAAAUGAAUCCAUUAAACAAGCAAGAGAGGAAGAUGAACAAAAUGAGGCCACAAGGGUAUUACAAGAUCAGUAUAUCUGCAAUGGGAGACCUCGAUUCACCUUGUCGACUGUUGACUUAUCCGUCGUAUGGCUUGGUGGACUCACUUGACCUUCUCUUCAGUACAACAAUCCAAGUGACUGCUUCCAAGAGUACGGCGAUCCCACCCAACACAGCGAGGAUUAUUAUGUAAGUCGUUUUCCAUUGCUUAGCAGGAUUCAGUAUGUCUAAGCCUUUGAACACAUUCACAAUGCUAAGGAUGAGAAUCGCAUAUCCGAUGCUGUGGUGGUAAAUGUUCCAGAAGAGCCUGUACUUGUGAUCCUUAGCAGGUCUCAAGAACAAUGCAAACAUCUGCAGAAGUCCAUCAGAAGAAAACAACCACACAACUUUACUAGCCAAACAAACUAAUUCGACAAUGCUGCCUCCUACAUGCUUAAUCAAUCUAACAGUACUGAACAAAUAUGGCAUCACACAUUCACACAACAAUGUUCAAAGAACACUCUCAAUACUAUCAAUUACCACACGAUUAUCUCGUUACUAAUACUGUACAUAAAAUUAGAUGAGAAUUUUACCUGCACAGUUGCAAAGGCGAAGAGCGUAAUUCCGAUGUUGCGGUGGUUCAUGUAUUCACCCCUUCCAAGCUUCAGUCCGGUGGCCCAGCCGGCGACACCGAUGGCAUAAGCAGAUAAUUGGCAGGAUACAUGAAGAUAAAACCAUGCAGGAUCCGCAGACGGAAAAACCCUCAUGUACCUUGCGAUGAUCAUCCCCAAUGGAAACAAAAAUCCCCAACUCACAGCAUUCAGAAUUCCAUGAAUCUGAAACACAACACACCAACAAAAAUCAAAAAAUCCCCAACUUUAACAAAAUGAUCAAUUGCCAAAAAAAUCAUACAAACAAACAAACUUUCACUUGACUCAAAGUUUCACCUGUUUUUUCAAUAAACCGAAGAUUCUAAAAGUUAAUAAUGGCAGUUAUAAAAAGAAUUAAUUGAGAAAUUAAACCCACAUUCCGGUUCUUCAUCUUGGGAUCGGCUCCGGUGGCGGCGCCGACACCGGUAUUAGUUCCGGUCACGGUGAGAGUCCCUUUGGCCUGAAGAUUCCCUUCCUCAAAAGCAUGCUUCGCCGGAAACCCAGCAUUCGAAACCGACGGCCCGACCUGCCAGACAUGGUUCACCUGCCCAGUAUUCACUUUCAUCUUCGCAAACAACCUGAACGCGUCACCUGAGGCCUCCGCGGCCGUGUCCCAGACCUCGAACGCAAGUUCUCCGGGGACGAUGGAAUCGCCGGUGUAACCACUGAUGUUGAAGGUCUUGACAGCCAUGGCGCCAGAGGCGGUUUUGUAAGCGACGAGCGUUUGCGCGCCCUCCAUGCCGGUGCCGGUGGGGUUGAUGGCCCAGGCGAUCCAUCCGGCGGGCUUGGCCGGCGGCGCGACGAAGGCGACGGCGAGGGUGGAGUUGGCGGUGUCGUAGGACCAGUGGAGGUAGGAGCUGAGGGUGGGGAGGUCGGCGCAUUGUGAGUAGAGCUUUUUGUUGGAGAAGAACUGGGAGGUGCAGGUGAGGGAAUGCGCGGGUGAGAUCAGGAGAAUAACAGUCAGUGAGAUUAGCGUGGCAAUGUUCUGGUAAUUAGCAACAGAAGAUGAUGAAGAAGAAGAAGCCAUUGUUGGGGAAGACAAAGGCUUUUCCCACUAAAAUUUUGGCGCAAUAUAUAGAUCAAAGAGAGGGGGAUUCGAGUGUGGGCUAGUCUUCUGAGUCAAAGUGGAACCUGCGAAUGAACAUGAGGCAUGUGUUAAUGUGAUUCCCACGUGGCUUUAACACGAAGUGUGUGCAGCAGAAGUAAAUUGUGACAUUAUAAAUCCAACGACCAUGAAAUGAAUAUUGAAUGAGGGGAACCAAAAUUCAGGGGGCAAUAAAUGGAAAUUGAAUGAUGGGGAAUUAAGAAUUAAGAAAUGAAAGAUAUUGAGAGAUAGAAUGCCCAAAUUAAGGUGAGGUUGAUUUAGAUGAUCAAAGAAUCUGUUGGAAUAGGAUUUGUGUGAUUUUAGAAGUUUUACAAGUGUGGGAUUGGGAAUUGUAUGCUUUGUCCAUAGUGAUUCUCUGUUUAAUGAAAUCGCAAUCGAAAAUUCUUCUACGCAUCAAGAUGCAAGUGAAUCGAGCAACUAAUAUGCAAUAUUUUUAAUCCGGUCAUCCACGUCGCACUAGCUACAUGUAUAUAUCUUAAUACCGUUAACAAAAUUGAAACUAAAAAAAAUAGUCCUAAAUGUUUCCAACUCAAGAGGUGAGAACUUGAAGUCGAAAAAGAUGUACUCUUAUUAUGGGUAUUUAGUUUGAUCGGAUCAAAUAUUAAAAUGAAAGGAAGACAUUUAGGGUCUCUAGACUUCAUUCAAUUUUCUCAUACGAUGAUUUGAGGACUUACACAUUAAUGGUACAAGUGCACCUUGGUGCAUAAAAUCCACUCCGAUUAGAUGACAAUUGAGUUUAAAUCCUUGAUUACAAAUACCCGAAAUAAUAUUGCGAGUCUCUAUAAAAACCAGACACAAACUAGCAACGAGUGCUCUUUAGGCGCUACUCUGUUUGCUUUGAUAUAACGGUUGACAUAAUGAAAAUAUCACUUGACAUGUAACAUGAUUACAAGCUAUCCUUAAUUAUCAAUGUCCAAUUUUUGCGUUUGUAGGAUGUAAUAAGGAAAAUACAAUCUUUUUAUAAAAUAUGGUAUUUUAUUGUAAUUUUACAAUAAGGUGUUUUAGCAUUCUAAUAAAUCAAAACACUUGUGAGGUGAUCAAAUAGUUCGUACGGUGACACCCUUAACAUUUCAUUGACAAAGUUCAGAAUUCCUAUAUGGUUCAUGGUUGCAUCUAGCUGUAUGAUUAUACAUAUUGAUCCAUAACGUGCUCAUGCAAUGAACGUAAGUCUCUUUAUCGGCAACCUAAUCCCCUCCAAUAAAGGAAAUUUAGUCUAGGUUUUAGCCUCUUCUUUUUUCCAAAUCACGUUAAUUUAACUUGGAUGUUGCUAAAUGUAUCCAGUAAAUUGUUACGUAGACCCACUAAAGUUUUUACACCCAGCAAAUUGAUUCAUUUUCUAGUUACACCCAACCAUUUUUCCAAUAAUACCCUUUUCAAUAAAACCCAGCAAAACCUAUAAAUUCCCAGGGUAGUAGGAAGAAGAUCGGAAGUGCAUCACAAUUACCAACACACUCAUCUUGUAAAUUCCUAACUUUACUUUCAUAAUUUCCAUUGUGUUGGGAUCCAAAUGGAAGGAAACAUAUAUAUGGUGGAAAGAACGGUUACUCUUUCUACUACUCAUAUGUGCCGAAGCAGAGAAACUUAAAAUGUGUAAAAACAUCCUUUGGGAAGAGUUUUCAUGGUGCAGAUAUGAGGAAGGAAUAGUCUACUAUUAAUACUGUGAAUUCAAGACUGACGCGUUUAACUUUUUGGUAGCUUCAUCAGAAUUCAGUUAUUGUAAAAAGAAACUAACAUUUUAGGAAAAAAGAUCAGGAAUAUUUUUUAAAAAUUGAAUCAGUUGCUAAAAGAUUGUAGAGCGAGAGAAUAUCAUGGAUGAAGAUCAACGUGUAUGGACGUUGUAGACACGAUGAAUUCAGAAAGGAGAUUGUUGGGUUUGGGCGUGAGUUUACUCGGUGUGAAUCUUGCUUGGUUAAUUGACAGUAAGGGUAUUAUCGAAAAAAUUGUAAGAUGUAAAACUUGUUGGGUCUACAUAGCAAUUUGCUAGGUACAUUUAAAAACACCUUUUAGCUUUUUGAAUGAUUGUUAAUUUUCAAUAAGUUUUGAGGGUGAAAAGGAGGUAAAUUUUCAACAAUGCUGCUAUGAGAUGAAGGCUGACGAUGUAAACCAAAAAUGGAAGAAAAAAACUUACUUGAAAUCAAUAUAUAUGAUGUGAUGAUGAACAAACAACCGUGGCACUCAAACGCCCAGACAAACUUAGCUAGGGUUAAUUUUCUCCGACUAGGUUGCAAAUAUACUUCUUGGAUCGCCUCCUUCAAGUAGAAAUGGUGACCAAUUGAAAUGGGGAAUACUCAGGCCACCAUUUCUACCUUCGAUGUUUAACAAAGAAGAAGCAAUUAAUAAUAGAAAGAGCACAGACAUUGCAUAUCAGCUACACGUAAAAUACGGAUGUCUAACCGACGGCUACCAUUUCUUGCCUUCGGUUGACUUCAACCCGGAGCUAAGUGACAUAGAAAUGUCCUAAUUUUACGUGCAUUGUUUACUAUUUUACAUAUACGGUAAUAAAAGGAAAGUGAAAAACAACAGCAAAGCACAAGACACCAAACUGCAUGUCAGACACCAAAUUGUCAAACCUAAACAGCAAAUUUUGAAAAGAAAAAAAAAUCACCAACAAGCAACGACAACUAAACCUAAGAAUCAAAUACAGUGAGCUACUAGAUGAACAAACACCGUUACAAAAACCAAGAGUCAUGACUCAUGACGAAUGUCAGAAAAAUAUAUAUAUAUAUAUAUAUAUAUAUAUAUAUUCUUCACGAGUUGUGUUCUCAUAAUUGAUAAGAGAAUUAUGUUUGAGUUACAAGAUGAUGACCGAGUGAGCUACCAUUUUUAGGUUGUUUAGUAAUUUAUGGUAUGACCCCUCCCAAGUAAAGAUUUUACAAGCUGAGCUUCUAGAUCAGGAGAAUUCUAUUCAUCAUACCAUUUGUUACCGACAAAAUUCCAUGAAUAGUUGAAUACCAAUUCUUUAUGACGUAGGCAUGAAUAUAUACCAGUUAAUCAGUUAACAAAUGGAAUAAUAUAUUUGAGGAAAAACCCAGAAAACCGCCUGAAUUAAGAAGAGGAACCCCGUGAAAAGGGGGAAUAGCAGGAAAAAACAAUUCAUCGAAGAAUCCAAGAUAUAAGUAGCCAAGUUGCUAGGAUUUGGCUCGUUAAUUAAUACGUUAAAUUAAGUUGAGGGUUUUUAUUUGUAGGGCAAAAAACCGACUAGCUACCGGGACUGGUGGACGAUCACCAACAACUCUCUUCUUAAUUAACCAGAUUAAUAGAGAGCAUAACUGUAUCUUGCAGGUCCAAGUCUCUCUGCAAAAUUAUACUAUAACGUUUAUUUCUGAAUAUCUGAUAAUUCUGAUCGAUCUAAGACAAACAAAGCGUGCCUAACACGAACCGUGUGUGUGGAUUUAAAAAUGGUUGAAGGAAAUAUCUGGGAAUUUUGUAUAGAAGCAGGUGCACUUGGGCAUAUAGGUCACUGGGAUAAAGGCAUUCUGGACCAACUCGUUUUUUGGUUUCAUGGAAAGGACACCAUUGAUACCAUCUUAAGUGGUAGUUUUCUAAAUGAAGCACUGCAAAGCUCCAAGAGGAUAGUGGCAAUGCUGGGACGAAGGAGAGCUACGGAUCCUAUGGUUGAAAUGACAGACCACUCAAAUCAGACCACAUUCAUUUCUUCAGUUUCAGGCCAUAAAAUGAAAAUUUAAAAGACUUCUCUUUCAGUAAGGGAGCCUUUUCGUCCCUAUGGAAAAAAAUAAAGCUACCCUUUUUCGUUAGCUUUUCGAAUAUUGUAGACUGAAAUGAGAUUAUAAUUGCAUGUUCAAAUUAUGAUUAGCAGAAAAAAAAAAAAAAAAAAAAAAAAAAAAAAAAAACCU
rnacentral:lncRNA from 1 species